CCGCCACCACACCCAGCUAAUUUUUUGUGUUUUUAGUAGAGACGGGUUUCACCUAUGAGGUCUGGAUCUCCUGACCUCGUGAUCCACCCACCUCAGCCUCCCAAAGUGCUGGGAUUACAGGCAUGAGCCAGCACGCCCAGCCCGAGAAGAGAUUUUUUAAAAGCCACUUUAUUCGAUUUCCAAAUCUUAGUCUUCCAUAUCUUUAGAGACCACCUGCCAUGUCCUUUCCGUCUGAAGCCUGGCAUCUCGAGCCUGGUGUGAAGGUGUGCUCCCCAGUGCACAACUUCACCCUCCUAGUACAGCUUAGUCCCUCCCACCCUGUUCUCAGCAGCUGGGUGUGACAUACCCGCUAUGUGCCUGAUAUACCCACUAUGUGCGAGACAUACCCACUGUGCACCUGACAUACCCACUGUGAGCCUGACAUGCCCAUUGCAUGCACGAUACCACCCACUGUGUGCAUGCGACAUACCCACUGUGUGCAACAUACCAACUGUUUGCAUGACAUACCCACUGUACACCUGACAUGCCCAUUGUGCGCCUGACAUGCCCACUAUGUGCGUGCAACAUACCCACUGUGUGCGUGCGACAUACCCAUUGUGCGCACGACAUACCCACUGUGCGCGCGACAUGCCCACUGUGCACCUGACAUGCCCGCUGUGUGCGUGCGACAUGCCCACUGUUUGCAUGCGACAUACCCACUGUGCACCUGACAUACCCACUGUGCACCUGACAUACCCACUGUGCGCGACAUACCCACUGUGCAUCUGACACGCCCAUUGUGCGCGACACACCCACUGUGUGCGUGCAACAUACCCACUGUGUGCCUGACACUGUGUGCAUGCGACAUACCCACUGUGUGCGAGACAUACCCACUGUGCGCCUGACAUGCCCAUUGUGCACCUGACAUGCCCAUUGCGUGCGUGCAACAUACCCACUGUGUGCGUGCGACAUACCCACUGUGCGCCUGACAUGCCCACUGUGUGCGUGCAACAUGCCCACUGUGCGUGACAUACCCAGUGUGUGCGUGCGACAUACCCACUGUGUGAGUGCAGGGCCUCUUCUCAUUCGUGCUUGUCCCCCGGAAAGUCAUGUCCGCUGGAACCUCGGAAUGUGGCCUUAAUUUGGUAAACGGGUCUUUCCAGACAUGGUUAGUUAACAUGAGGUCAUGCUAAAUUAAGGCAGGCCUAAGUCCACACUGACUGACGUCCUCAUAAGAAGAGGAGAGGCUGGCUGGGUGCAGUGCCUCCCGCCUGUAAUCCCAGCACUUUGGGGAGACCGAGGCAGCCCGAUCACCUGAGGUCAGGAGUUCGAGAUCAGCCUGGCCAACAUGGUGAAACCCCAUCUCUACUAAAAACACAAAAAUUAGCCAGAAAUUGCUUGAAUCCUGGAGGUGGAGGUUGCAGUGAGCCAAGAUCGUGCCACUGCACUCCAGCCCGGGCGACAGAGUGAAACUGUCUCAACAACAACAACAACAACAAGAACUAAUUCAGAUUCUAAAACCAGUUGCUAAAUGUUUCCUUUUUUUUUUCUUUUUAGACAGAGUUUCAAAAUCUGUCGCCCAGGCUGGAGUGCAGUGGCCGGAUCUUGGCUCACUGCAACCUCCGCCUCCUGUGUUCAAGCAAUUCUCUUGCCUCAGCCUCCCGAGUAGCUGGGAUUACAGGUGCUCGCCACCACACCCAGCUAAUUUUUGUAUUUUUAGUAGAGAUGGGGU
rnacentral:lncRNA from 10 species